rnacentral:rRNA from 1 species
UACGUAGGGGGCAAGCGUUAUCCGGAUUUACUGGGUGUAAAGGGAGCGUAGGCGGUAAUGCAAGUCAGAAGUGAAAGCCCGGGGCUCAACUCCGGGACUGCUUUUGAAACUGUGUUGCUAGAUUGCAGGAGAGGUAAGUGGAAUUCCUAGUGUAGCGGUGAAAUGCGUAGAUAUUAGGAGGAACACCAGUGGCGAAGGCGGAUGACUGGACGGCAACUGACGGUGAGGCGCGAAAGCGUGGGGAGCAAACAGG